rnacentral:rRNA from 1 species
CAAUGGCGUAUAUUAAAGUUGUUGCAGUUAAAAAGCUCGUAGUUGGAUUUCAGGCAGGAGCGACCGGUCGGCCCAUUGUGGUGUGUACUAGUGUUGCAUCUGGCCAUAUUUGUGGAGAGCGUGUGUGGCAUUAAUUUGUCGUGCUCGGGACCCGCAUCGUUUACUGUGAGAAAAUUAGAGUGUUUAAAGCAGGCUUUUGCUAUGAAUACAUUAGCAUGGAAUAAUAAUAUAGGACUUUGGUUCUAUUUUGUUGGUUUCUAGGACUAAAGUAAUGAUUGAUAGGGAUAGUUGGGGGUGCUAGUAUUCAGCGGCCAGAGGUGAAAUUCUUGGAUUCGCUGAAGACUAACUUAUGCGAAAGCAUUCACCAAGGAUGUCUUCUUUAAUCAAGAACGAAAGU